rnacentral:rRNA from 1 species
AUUGUGGACUCGUAUGAAAGGCAAAAUGAGAGCCUGACUGUCUCUUACAACUAAUCAAUUAAACUGAUCUCCCAGUACAAAAGCUGAGAUACCCUCAUAAGACCAGAAGACCCUGUGAAGCUUUAACUAACCUAUUAAAACCCAUAAUAAUUAGUUUCGGUUGGGGCGACCUUGGAACAAAAAAGAACUUCCAACAUAUGACCUCCUCAUAUAUAAGGCAAACAAGCCACAUUAGACCCAGUAUAUCUGAUUAAUGAACCAAGUUACUCCAGGGAUAACAGCGCUAUCUUCUUCAAGAGCCCAUAUCAAAAAGAAGGUUUACGACCUCGAUGUUGGAUCAGGACAUCCUAGUAAUGCAACCGUUACUGAGGGUUCGUUUGUUCAACGAUUAACAGUCCUA